rnacentral:rRNA from 1 species
UACGUAGGGUCCGAGCGUUGUCCGGAAUUACUGGGCGUAAAGAGCUCGUAGGUGGUUUGUCGCGUUGUUCGUGAAAACUCACAGCUCAACUGUGGGCGUGCGGGCGAUACGGGCAGACUAGAGUACUGCAGGGGAGACUGGAAUUCCUGGUGUAGCGGUGGAAUGCGCAGAUAUCAGGAGGGAACACCUGGCGGCGAAGGCGGGUUGCUGGGCUGAUAACUGACGGCUG